rnacentral:rRNA from 1 species
AGAGUUUGAUUCUGGCUCAGGACGAACGCUGGCGGCGGGCUUAACACAUGCAAGUCGUGGGAGAAUCUAAGUGCUUGCACUUAGAGGAGACCGGCGGAUGGGUGAGUAACGCGUAGGCAAUUUGCCUGUAGCAAGAGGAUAACAUCGCGAAAGCGGUGCUAAUACUGUAUAAUGCAGCGGGGCCGCAUGGCCACAGUUGUUAAACUCUUCGGAGGGCUACAGAGAAGCCUGCGUACCAUUAGCUUGUUGGUAAGGUAACGGCUUACCAAGGCAGUAAUGGUUAGGGGGUCUGAGAGGAUGAUCCCCCACACUGGGACUGAGACACGGCCCAGACUCCUACGGGAGGCAGCAGUGAGGAAUCUUGCGCAAUGGGGGCAACCCUGACGCAGCCACGCCGCGUGCCGGAAGACGGCCCUAUGGGUUGUAAACGGCUUUUGUUGGGGAAGAACCUGGGUCUUUCGAGACCCACUGACGGUACCCAUCGAAUCAGCACCGGCUAACUCCGUGCCAGCAGCCGCGGUAAUA